rnacentral:rRNA from 1 species
GAUGAACGCUCGCGAUAGGCUUAACACACGCAAGUCGAGGGGCAGCACAAGGUAGCUUGCUAUCUGGGUGGCGACCGGCGCACGGGUGCGUAACGCGUAUGCAACUUGCCCUAUACAGGAGGAUAACCCGUCGAAAGACGGACUAAUACUGCGUAUGCUCACAACUUGGCAUCAAGUGGUGAGGAAAGAAAUUCGGUAUAGGAUAGGCAUGCGUCCCAUUAGCUUGUUGGUGAGGUAACGGCUCACCAAGGCAACGAUGGGUAGGGGAACUGAGAGGUUUAUCCCCCACACUGGUACUGAGACACGGACCAGACUCCUACGGGAGGCAGCAGUGAGGAAUAUUGGUCAAUGGGCGCGAGCCUGAACCAGCCAAGUCGCGUGAAGGAUGACUGUCUUAUGGAUUGUAAACUUCUUUUAUACGGGAAUAACAAGAGUCACGUGUGGCUCCCUGCAUGUACCGUAUGAAUAAGCAUCGGCUAACUCCGUG